rnacentral:rRNA from 1 species
CAGCAGCCGCGGGAAUACAGAGGGUGCGAGCGUUAAUCGGAUUUACUAGGCGUAAAGCGUGCGUAGGCGGCUUUUUAAGUCGGAUGUGAAAUCCCUGAGCUUAACUUAGGAAUUGCAUUCGAUACUGGGAAGCUAGAGUAUGGGAGAGGAUGGUAGAAUUCCAGGUGUAGCGGUGAAAUGCGUAGAGAUCUGGAGGAAUACCUAUGGCGAAGGCAGCCAUCUGGCCUAAUACUGACGCUGAGGUACGAAAGCAUGGGGAGCAAACAGGAUUAGAUACCCCAGUAGUCCCUGUCUCUUAUAC